rnacentral:rRNA from 1 species
GACGAACGCUGGCGGCGUGCUUAACACAUGCAAGUCGAACGGAGAGGCCAUGAAUUUGUGGGGUGCUCGAGUGGCGAACGGGAGAGUAACACGAGGGGAACGUGACCCUGACGUUGGGUUAACUUCAGGAAACGGGGGCUAAUGCCAGAUAGGAGCACCAGCAGCAAGGAGGGGGAUGGAAAGUUUCGGCGGAUGGGAAUGGACUGGCGGCUGAUCAGCUUGUGGGUGGGGUUGGGGCUAUCCAAGGCUUUGACGGGUAGCCGGCCUGAGAGGGUGACCGGCCACAUUGGGACUGAGAUACGGCCCAGACUCCUACGGGAGGCAGCAGUGGGGAAUAUUGCACAAUGGGCGGAAGCCUGAUGCAGCAACGCCGCGUGCGGGAUGACGGCCUUCGGGUUGUAACCCGCUUUCGCCUGUGACGAAGCGUGAGUGACGGUAAUGGGUAAAGAAGCACCGGCUAACUACGUG